GUUGUUCAAAACAGUAGCGAACAAUGUUGUGCUGCACCCCGUGAACAAUAUUGUUAACAAGUUGUUGAACCAUCAAUGUUGUUGCAACUUGUUAACAUGAUUGUCAACAAGUUGCAACAACAUUGAUGGUUCAACAACUUGUUAACAAUAUUGUUCACGGGGUGCAGCACAACAUUGUUCGCUCCUGUUUUGAACAAC